CACGUAGGGCGCAAGCGUUGUCCGGAAUUAUUGGGCGUAAAGAGCUCGUAGGUGGUUUGUUACGUCUGCUGUGAAAACCUAGGGCUUAACCCUGGGCUUGCAGUGGAUACGGGCAGACUAGAGGUAGGUAGGGGAGACUGGAAUUCCUGGUGUAGCGGUGAAAUGCGUAGAUAUCAGGAGGAACACCUGUGGCGAAAGCGGCUCACUGGACCACAACUGACGCUGAUGCACGAAAGCUAGGGGAGCAAACAGG
rnacentral:rRNA from 1 species